rnacentral:lncRNA from 1 species
UGCUUGUUGUUUGCAAAAGUCUUUAGCAUAAAUGAAAAUGCAGCACUCUACUCCAUUCAGGCUUGAGCAUCAUGAAGAAAAGAUAUGAAGAAAGCUCAGCAAUGAACAGGACCAGAGGGCACUUCAAGCUGAAAGCUUUCCUGCCAAGAAACACUGGACACACUUACCCGAAGGACUUCUAAAUGGAUUGGCGGAGAUAAAGCCAUUCAAAACCUCCCACAAAGCAACUACUUCAAAGAGCUGAAACGAUCACUGUCGGAUAGGUAUCCACAUUUGACUAGGACGCUGUAUAUCAAAGUAGGGCACAACUGCACCCAAACAAGGAUAAUUAGUGCAGAGGCACAACCGCAUUACUAUUUACAGAUGGGCAAGGUCACUGGUUCAAUUGGUGAUGGUCCAAUUCUCCAGUACACGCACAUCCCUUACUGAAAGAGCAUCAGGCGCUAUAGUUUUGGAUUUCUUUUCUUCUGGUAUAUCAGUUUGUAUUUUUCUAAACUAAAU